rnacentral:rRNA from 1 species
GGGGGGGGGGGGGGGGGGGGGGGGGGGGGGGGGGGCGGGGGGGGGGGGGGUGCUUGGGUGGGGGGCUCGAGUGGCGAGCGGGUGGGUGGCACGUGGGUAACCUGCCCUUGACUUUGGGAUAACUUCGGGAAACUGGGGCUACUACCGGCUCGGAGCUCCUGCUGCAUGGUGGGGGUUGGAAAGUUUCGGCGGUUGGGGAUGGACUCGCGGCUUCUCAGCUGGUUGGUGGGGUAGUGGCUUACCAAGGCUUUGACGGGUAGCCGGCCUGAGAGGGUGACCGGCCACAAUGGGACUGAGAUACGGCCCAGACUCCUACGGGAGGCAGCAGUGGGGAAUAUUGCACAAUGGGCGGAAGCCUGAUGCAGCAACGCCGCGUGCGGGAUGACGGCCUUCGGGGUGUAAACCGCUUUCGCCUGUGACGAAGCGUGAGUGACGGUAAUGGGUAAAGAAGCACCGGCUAACUACGUG